ACAGUUGUAUAGUGAUUGAUCUGCCCGGCGAGUAAAGUUUGCCACUUGAUGAGCUCAGAGCAGAUAACUUCCCAGGUUGUUUAGCAUCUUUAUAUUUUAACUCCGGUCUCCCUUCUUGCUGUCAGGUCUUACAACUUUAGUCCAAAAAUUAAGCAUCUUGUUUAUAUUUUAAAACUUAGGUCAAAGUUUAUCUACUCUUUUAAGCAUCCCUUGACCCUUCACAACCCUCUAGAACGUCGAACAUCACUUCCUUUGUUCCUUGAUUAAGCUCACCUCUGUUUCUACAAUGAUUCCUGUGUUACAUACAUAUCCUUUUAAAUGUCCAUAAUGGAUAUAUUUUAUCUUUCUUGUCAAUUUUUGAAAAAUUAUUUCUUCCCAUUUUAGUCCUUGUGCUUUGGGAGGAACUGCCUCCACUGUCCUGCUUGCAGGAGAGACACACAAUCCAGAUCAAAGCCAAUCACAAUACUACAUUUCCCUGGCUACACUGAGUAACUUAAAGAAAACAAAUGACCUAAGUGGCAAAAACCAGAUUCCACUCUGAAAUUAAUACGGACACUUGAAAAGAAAAUGUCUUUUUUCUAAGAUCACGACUGCUAAGCAUCCUGUAAGCACGUGAGUAAAGACAUUAGGGAGUAAAGAACAACCAAGAAGUCAAGAGAAAGAGGGCAAACCCUAAAAACACUAUUCCAGCACCUAGACUUAGCUUUAGCAGAAGCCAUUCAAACCCCAGAUAUCUCAGCUACUCUUGCUGAUGCGCAGUUUUAUUUGAGUGGUGUUUUCAUUAUUUGCAACUGAAAGAGUCCACAUGAAUAGGUCAAGUCUGUCUCUGUCACUCCACUGUGAUGUAGAAAUUGCCUCUUUCCUUUUAUGACACAUCUGGGAACAAAAUGGGCACUAGCUUGUUCAUUGAUUAAAGAAGAGAAGAAUGAAUGAAUGAAAAUAAAUAAAUAAAUGAAGUACAGCCUAGGAAUACAAGAAAAACACAUCCCUUGCUGGAGUCCCAGUAUACCAACACUUUGAUGCCAUUCUACCAAAACAAACAGAAAUCUCCCUGUGUUUCUCACCUGGUACAAUGGAAAUAAAACCUGCAACCAUAUGCUGCAGACAUUGGAAUCCCCCUACACCAGAAGCCGUCUCUCUGGGUUCCUCCGUAGAAAAUUGGGGAUGAUGAUAAUACUAACCAGGUAGAGUUAUUGUCUGGGUUUAUUUAUUUACUUUUA
rnacentral:lncRNA from 12 species